rnacentral:rRNA from 1 species
GACGAACGCUGGCGGCGUGCUUAACACAUGCAAGUCGAACGGAAAGGCCCCUUCGGGGGUCCUCGAGUGGCGAACGGGUGAGUAACACGUGAGUAACCUGCCCUUGACUUCGGGAUAACUUCAGGAAACUGGGGCUAAUACCGGAUAGGAAUCCUUGCUGCAUGGUGGGGGUUGGAAAGCUUCGGCGGUUUUGGAUGGACUCGCGGCUUAUCAGCUUGUUGGUGGGGUAGUGGCUUACCAAGGCUUUGACGGGUAGCCGGCCUGAGAGGGCGACCGGCCACAUUGGGACUGAGAUACGGCCCAGACUCCUACGGGAGGCAGCAGUGGGGAAUAUUGCACAAGGGGCGGAAGCCUGAUGCAGCAACGCCGCGUGCGGGAUGACGGCCUUCGGGUUGUAAACCGCGUUCAGCAGGGGCGAAGCUUGUGGUGACGGUACCUGCAGAAGAAGCACCGGCUAACUACGUG